UACCAGCUCUCCGAGUGGUGUGGAUGUUUAUUGGGCCUAAAGCAUCCGUAGCUGGCCAAGUUAGUCCCCUGUUAAACUCAACGAAUCAAUCGUUGAAUCGCGGGGGAUACUGCUCGGCUAGGGGACGAGAGAGGCCGACGGUAUUCUCGGGGUAGGGGUGAAAUCCUAUAAUCCCGGGAAGACCACCAGUGGCGAAGGCUGUCGGCUAGAACGAGCCCGACGGUGAGGGAUGAAAGCUGGGGGAGCGAACCGGAUUAGAUGCCCGGGUAGUCCCAGCUGUAAACGAUGCAGGCUAGGUGUUUGGACGGCCACGUGCCGUUCUAGUGCCGCAGGGAAGCUGUUAAGCCUGCCGCCUGGGGAGUACGAUCGCAAGAUUGAAACUUAAGGGAAUUGGCGGGGGAGCACCACAAGGGGUGAAGCUUGCGGUUUAAUUGGAGUCAACGCCGGAAAUCUCACCGGGAGCGACAGCAGUCUGAAGGCCAGAUUAAAGGUCUUGCCAGACGAGCUGAGAGGAGGUGCAUGGCCGUCGCCAGUUCGUGCCGUGAGGUGUCCUGUUAAGUCAGGCAACGAUCGAGACCCGCGUCCUCUGUUGCUACUGGCCUGGAGCCAGGCACACUGAGGAGACCGCCGCUGAUAAAGCGGAGGAGGGAGCGGGCCACGGCAGGUCAGUAUGCCCCGAAUCUCCCGGGCCACACGCGAGCUGCAAUGGCAGGUACAAUGGGUUCCGACCUCGUAAGGGGAAGGCAAUCUCGAAAGCCUGCCGUAGUUGGGAUUGAGGGUUGAAACCCACCCUCAUGAACAUGGAAUCCCUAGUAAUCGCGUGUCACUAGCGCGCGGUGAAUACGUCCCUGCUCCU
rnacentral:rRNA from 1 species